rnacentral:rRNA from 1 species
CCCUUAGAUGUCCUGGGCCGCACGCGCGCUACACUGAGUGCCUGAGAUACGAGUCUGCCUGGUCCGGCAAGGUCUAGGUAAUCGCUAAAAGACACAUCAUGCUUGGGAUAGAUUAUUGCAAAUAUUAAUCUUGAACGAGGAAUUCCUAGUAAGCGCAAGUCAACAGCUUGCGUUGAUUACGUCCCUGCCCUUUGUACACACCGCCCGUCGCUACUACUGAUUGGAUGUUUAAGCGAGGUUCUCGAACUGCUAGCGACUUAGCUUCGGUGAGGUCGCAGUGUGGGGAGUGAACCUAGCUUUGGUGUCUAGAGGAAGUAAAAGUCGUAACA